AUUGAACGCUGGCGGAAUGCUUUACACAUGCAAGUCGAACGGCAGCACGGACUUCGGUCUGGUGGCGAGUGGCGAACGGGUGAGUAACAUAUCGGAACGUAUCCAAUAAUGGGGGAUAACGAGUCGAAAGAUUCGCUAAUACCGCAUACGCCCUACGGGGGAAAGCUGGGGACCUUCGGGCCUGGCGUUAAUGGAGCGGCCGAUAACUGAAUAGCUAGCUGGUGAGGUAAAGGCUCACCAAGGCGACGAUCAGUAGCUGGUCUGAGAGGACGACAAGCCACACUGGAACUGAGCCACGGUCCAGACUCCUACGGGAGGCAGCAGUGGGGAAUUUUGGACAAUGGGCGCAAGCCUGAUCCAGCCAUUCCGCGUGAGUGAAGAAGGCCUUCGGGUUGUAAAGCUCUUUCGCAAGGGAAGAAAACUUAGCCACUAACAUUGGUUGAGGUUGACGGUACCUUGAUAAGAAGCACCGGCUAACUACGUGCCAGCAGCCGCCGUAA
rnacentral:rRNA from 1 species